rnacentral:rRNA from 1 species
GACGAACCGUGCAAACGUUAUUCGGAAUCACUGGGCAUAAAGGGCGCGUAGGCGGCUUUCUAAGUCAGGGGUGAAAUCCGGCAGCUCAACUGUUGCAGUGCCUUUGAUACUGGAGAGCUCGAGGGAGGUAGGGGUCUGUGGAACUUCCGGUGGAGCGGUGAAAUGCGUUGAUAUCGGAAGGAACGCCGGUGGCGAAAGCGACGGACUGGAUCUCUUCUGACGCUGAGGCGCGAAAGCCAGGGGAGCAAACGGG